rnacentral:rRNA from 1 species
AUACGUAGGUGGCAAGCGUUGUCCGGAAUUAUUGGGCGUAAAGCGCGCGCAGGUGGUUCCUUAAGUCUGAUGUGAAAGCCCCCGGCUCAACCGGGGAGGGUCAUUGGAAACUGGGGAACUUGAGUGCAGAAGAGGAUAGUGGAAUUCCAAGUGUAGCGGUGAAAUGCGUAGAGAUUUGGAGGAACACCAGUGGCGAAGGCGACUGCCUGGUCUGUAACUGACACUGAGGCGCGAAAGCGUGGGGAGCAAACAGGAUUAGAUACCCUGGUAGUCCACGCCGUAAACGAUGAGUGCUAAGUGUUGGGGGGUUUCCGCCCCUCAGUGCUGCAGCUAACGCAUUAAGCACUCCGCCUGGGGAGUACGGUCGCAAGACUGAAACUCAAAGGAAUUGACGGGG